rnacentral:lncRNA from 1 species
AUACCACUUUAUACUCACGAUCUUGUAUCCACUGAUUGUCUCGUUAGAUUAAUCCAAUAAAUUUUAUUCACUCCGCAUACUCAUUACUAUAGAUACCCUUUUAAUUUUUCAUCACAGACGUAACUCGAUUUCAUAAAACAGUCAAGAGUAAUCACACCUCUUUCAUUAAAAUCUCGAUUCACAAGUAUAACACUGACUUCAGCAACGAUUGCCUCAGUCUUCCCAAAACCCUAUGAAAAAAAAAGAACCCAAUUCUCUGUCUUUUUUCCCUACUCUGAAGCAUGAAGCUAGAUCUGCGACCCUUCUAAAAAACCUAUU